rnacentral:rRNA from 1 species
GUUGGUGAUUCAGCAGGUGGGGUACACCCGUUCUCAUUCCGAACACGGAAGUUAAGCCACUAUGCACCGAUGGUACUCCUUUAUUGGGGGAGAGUAGGCCGUCGCCAACU